AAUCUUUUAAUGGAGUCUAUCUUACACGUAUAUAUGUAAGUAAAUACACGGCUUCUUAAACAAUAACAGGAACAGGCAAUUCUUUAGCUUUACCUGAAAAACGAGAAUCCAUCUUUCCCAUCUCCACUAUCACUGCUGCUGAUCCUGAUUGCCCCAUUUCUAUUCAAUACUCCACUAUAUUCCCUUCCGUAAAACUCCCUGGACGCCAGCCCAUUCAUUUGAAUUUGUUAGUAUUAAUUCCACAGAACUUGUAACCUCUGUUCUACUCCGCUAACGCUAACGCUCUUGGGCAGAAGCAACGGGUAGAGUAUAUUAUAAGCCUUAGUUCAUGGCGGGUAGAUCGAA
rnacentral:lncRNA from 1 species